UUAAUGGCCGCCGGUGGCGGAGGGGACGCUCUGAGGGCGGCCCCGCCCGUCCCCGCGCCGGGCCGCAAAACGAACCACAGACACUGAUGCCUACGCGCAGCCCUGUUCGCUCCUCUGGCUCUCUCUGCUCAGUGCAACCACGCCUGUUCGCUGCCGUGGUUGCCUCAGUGGAAGUUGUCCAGGAUUUGCCGUGCUUAGCAAAGUUUUUCUGGCGAACGGCUUAUCUGCUGAACAGCUUGUGAGCCUGCGAAUGCGCUGAGUGCGCAUCUCUGGUGUAAGGUUUAGACUCUUCCCCUCUGCAACAUCACUCGGGAUAUCUCAGGGGAACAGCUGAGUUGCUGUGGUCAUCCUGGAAGUCAGCUGGUGGCGCUCGAUCCAGACUUUUCCCAGCUUGUCCAUUCACAGAGACUUCUUCCCAAUAGUAUGUCCCGUUGUCAGGCCACGUGGGAUUUUUUUUUUUGUAUUUGCCGUUUGCAGACUUCCUGGUCCUGAAGGUGGGUCCUGCAGGGGACAAAGUGGGUUGGGAAAGAGGAUAUGAUAGCCAAUAUCAGCACAGGAAGAGAGAUGACCCUGGAUCUACAGCUCUCCUGCAGAAUUUGUGCUGAGGCAACUUCAUGAAACAGAGUAGAAAUAUGACAGGACAAUGAAAGCUAAUGAAAUAUGAAGCUUUUCACUUCUAGCUCAUAUGUUCCAGCACAUCCUUCAACCUGGAAGGAAAUAUAAUCUAGGAUGUGGUAGUGACCUCUUUAUUACUGACCUGUUGUCAGCAGCAAAUAAAAGUUUUUGCAACUUUAA